rnacentral:rRNA from 1 species
AACGAACGCUGGCGGCAGGCUUAACACAUGCAAGUCGAGCGCCCCGCAAGGGGAGCGGCAGACGGGUGAGUAACGCGUGGGAAUCUACCCAUCUCUACGGAAUAACGCAUGGAAACGUGUGCUACUACCGUAUACGUCCUUCGGGAGAAAGAUUUAUCGGAGAUGGAUGAGCCCGCGUUGGAUUAGCUAGUUGGUGGGGUAAAGGCCUACCAAGGCGACGAUCCAUAGCUGGUCUGAGAGGAUGAUCGGCCACACUGGGACUGAGACACGGCCCAGACUCCUACGGGAGGCAGCAGUGGGGAAUAUUGGACAAGGGGCGCAAGCCUGAUCCAGCCAUGCCGCGUGAGUGAUGAAGGCCCUAGGGUUGUAAAGCUCUUUCACCGGUGAAGAUAAUGACGGUAACCGGAGAAGAAGCCCCGGCUAACUUCGUGCCAGCCGCCGCCGUAAGAC